rnacentral:rRNA from 1 species
AUUGAACGCUGGCGGCAGGCCUAACACAUGCAAGUCGAGCGGAGCGGCGGACGGGUGCGUAAUGCCUAGGAAUCUGCCUGGUAGUGGGGGAUAACGUCCGGAAACGGGCGCUAAUACCGCAUACUCACAGAUGAGCCUAGGUCGGAUUCGCUAGGUGUUGGGGUAAAGGCCUACCAAGGCGACGAUCCGUAACUAGUCUGAGAGGAUGAUCAGUCAAACUGGAACUGAGACACGGUCCAUACUCCUACGGGAGGCAUCAGUGGGGAAUAUUGGACAAUGGGCGAAAGCCUGAUCCAGCCAUGCCGCGUGUGUGAAGAAGGUCUGCGGAUUGUAAAGCACUUUAAGUUUGGAGGCGUUACCAACAGAAUAAGCACCGGCUAACUUCGUGCCAGCCGCCGCGGUAAUAC